AGACGUAGGAUGCAAGCGUUAUCCGGAAUCAUUGGGCGUAAAGAGUCCGUAGGUGGUAUGUUAAGUUGGAUGUUAAAUUUUUGAGCUCAACUCAAAAAAUGUGUCCAAAACUGGCAAACUGGAGACAGGUAGAGGCGAGUGGAAUUCUGCAUGUAGGGGUAAUAUCCGUAGAUAUGCAGAGGAACACCAAAAGCGAAGGCAGCUUGCUGGACCUGUUCUGACACUAAAGGACGAAAGCGUGGGGAGCAAACGGGAUUAGAUACCCGGGUAGUCC
rnacentral:rRNA from 1 species